UUAGAUGACUAUGAAAUAUCUAUAGUCAUCUAAAUUGUCAUCAAGUUAUAAUUUAUACUUGAUAAGUAAUGUAUGAGUUAUUGCAAGUUAGUUAAUUAAAUAGGCAUAAUUAUAAUGCAAUUCUCUCAUAUAAUAGUUGAAAAAAUCAUCACAUUCUAAGCUAAGUUGUCAGCUGUUGCUAUUAUAUAAGAAUAAUCUGCAUAUAACAAAAAUAUGGUUAUAUAUAACUAUAAAUUAUAUCCUCUUUGAAUUAUCCUCACACAUGCUUAUAUUUCUACAGGUUCCUAUUGGAGAACAUCCUCAGCAUGGAAAACAUUGCACCAAUGCUAAAACAAUUGCCAUGAUAAUCUGUUAUGACUCAUUUUUUGAAUUUAAUGAUAAAUUUGAUAAAGAAACUAGAGGUUCUUCCUAUAACUGGCAUUAUGGUGGGCAUAUUGGCUGAAAUAGUUCUUAAGUUUAUUGAAGCAAUAAAUCUAAUUUAUAGUUUCAAUAAACCUAUAAUACUAUACCUCAAGAUAUUUGUAAGAUAUGUAGAUGAUAUAUUUGUCUUAUUGAAAGAGGGGGGUGUGAUAAAGCAUUACAUUUGAAAGAAACCUUCACAACCUAGCCAGUAGGAUUUAAGCUCAAUUUAGAUUUAGAAAGCACAGAAUCUAUACAUUAUUUAGAUGUAUGUCUCAUGAUACUGAAAAAUAGUUUUGUUACCAGAGUAUACAGAAAAUUUAGUCAUUUCCAUGCUAAUUUCUGCUUGAUCAGACCACUAUGUUUACAAUCAAGGAGUUGUGGGAAUGAAACAGUUGGCUUUGAAUAUGAUUUAACUGUUGAGCAGAGACUUAAAUCAGGAUUUCUGACACCAGAUGUGAUGAUUUAUCGCAUUCGCACCAAAUGCAAAUUUUGGAAAUGAUCAAAAUUUUUAUAAAGAUGCAUGGAUAAGUGACACCCAGAGUUCAGACACUAUUGAAAAUAUACAGAAGUAAAGACAUCUAUUUAAACAAUAAAAAUAUAUAAACAUUAUUAAAUUAUUAGAUUAAAAUACAAGAUUAUAAUUUACACAAUCAAUUAUACAAGCAGUUACAUAGAUAUAAGUAUAAAAUAUCAUCAUGGACGUAUAACUUAAAUUGAGAAAAACCAAUGAAACAUUCUAAUUAUAAUGGAAAUAUCCUACUCUAACCUUAAGAAGUUUUAUUGACAUUUAUAAACAAUAUCUUGAAGAGAGGGGAUUAUUAUUCUUUUUUUCUUCUGGUUUUCUUAUUUUCACAAAUUUAUCAUUAUAAGAGUUUAGGUGGAUAGUCACUAUAAGACAGGAAAACACUGGAGAAUACAUCUAAAUACACAAGUUGCUUAAGACCAUUCCCGUGUCCAAGUUUUUAGAAGUGUCGUCCAUUUCUGCCCUUUCAAUGUAUCUGCCAAUCCUAUAAAGUUGAGGAAAAGAUUCGAAUUGAUUCUCAAACCUCAUUUGCUCAAAUUGAUGUUUUCUUUUUAGUGGGAUUGGUGGUAAGAGCUUUCAAUUUUGAUAUUUAUGGUUUUUUGCUAAGAGAUCUGAUCAACUUUAUUAUCCUCUCUUGUCAAUUAUAUGAGACUCAUUUUCUCUCCAAGAUAUUGUUUAUGGAAGUGUUUAGUAAUUGAGAAUAGUCAAAUUUUCUCUUCAAG
rnacentral:lncRNA from 1 species